rnacentral:lncRNA from 12 species
GGGGGCACGGCCCCAGCCUGGAGGAGCCGUGGGCUCCCACUGGUUUUGGGGGAGCGGUGUCAGCCGGACGCCCACGCGGCAGCCUCGGGAUCCGCCCGGUGCUCAUUCAGGAGCUGCAGCUUCUCCGCCACGCAGACGGAGCUCAGAGCAUCCCUCUCGUAGCUCCCCUCCCUGGCUCACUUCCAGCCUCUCCCGGUUAUUACUGUAGGGGGAGCGGUGUCAGCCGGACGCCCCCGCGGCAGCCUCGGGAUCCGCCCGGUGCUCAUUCAGGAGCUGCAGCUUCUCCGCCACGCAGACGGAGCUCAGAGCAUCCCUCUCGUAGCUCCCCUCCCUGGCUCACUUCCAGCCUCUCCCGGUUAUUACUGUAGCAUCCAGCAUGUUUUACUUCAUAUUCAUCUCUCUUGCACAUACCGGCCCACUCAUGUAUUAGAUCCGAAUCCUUUUUUUUUUUUUUUUUUUUUUUUUGUUCCCUUUUUUUUUUCCGGCUUGUUGCUCGACGGAGCGGUGAGGCACGACACGCCGCGUGUUGUGACACAUCCUGACAGGUCUCGGCGUGCUGGGCUCGGAGCAGCCAUCUCCUCUGUGUCCUGCUCCCCGCUGGCUCCCAGUAGCAGCCACCUCCAGGGAGGCAGAGGAGAGAGCUGGAUGUGGAGUGGAAGUGUCUUGGCUUUUAAUGUGCCUCUUUGCCAAAAGCAGGGGAAAGGCAAGGAAAAACGCAGCUGCUUGAUAUUCCCCAAAGCCUUGCUUGCACUCUUCCUGGAUAAUGUUUUGGCCUUUUGUUCUCACAGGUGGCUGUGCUCGCUGAAGGUGGCUCCACAGGGCAGUGCUGGAUGCCCUGCUGUGUCGGUAGCACUGACAGGUGAAGGGCCAGAAACAGUUCUGCAUUCAACGGAAUCUGGGGGAAUGACUGAAGUGUCCUGAAAGACAACCUUGAAUCAGAAAAGAAGUCCAACCUAAAACCCUCAUUACAACGUUCCAAAGGGAGCAAUUGGAUGACCUAUGGCUGUGCACCGGGAGAAAAUACCCCAAGCUAUCACCUGAUGCUUUUAAAACAUCAGCUGAGGCACCAUUUUAGGAGGCAGGUGAGUAUGGCAGGUGGCAGAGCAGUGCUGCAGCUCUCUCACAGAGUGGGUACAGCAGGCACAGACCCAGCUGGGAGCGUCACUGCCAGCGCAGGAGCCCUGGGAAGCGCGGAGCAGCACCGCCUGCUAUUUUUUACAGAACGAGGAAAACGCUCUUGCCUGACCCGGGGGCUCCUUCCCCCUGGGAGAGCACAGAUGGUCUCCUGGUGAAGGUGUGGGCCUGGAAAUUGGGAGCUCUGGAUGCCUUUCCCGGCUACAUCAGAAACUUGCUAUGUGGCACCACCUACUUCUGCGCCCACGUUUCCUCCUACUCCUUCUCUCUCACUCGCCGCUUUUUCCAGACCUUUCACCUCGCUGCUCGAAUGUGUUUUUCCUUUUGCAGAGUGCUUUUCUCAGACUCCAAAGCCUCCUGGUGUGCUGUCACCAGUACCUGGACCAGACACCCACUCCUGCCCAGGCUUCUUCUGCCCCUUCACCCUUCCCAUCAAUCUCUCCCUUCCCCUUGUAGUGCUGCUGCGGUUUGGUAUCUCCUCCUGACACCGCUCA